AUUGAACGCUGGCGGCAGGCCUAACACAUGCAAGUCGAACGAGUGGCGGACGGGUGAGUAUUGUCUGUGAAACUGCCCGCUGGAGGGGGAUAAAUCCUGGAAACGGUAUCUAAUACCGCAUACCAUAUGGUGUGCCCCGAUGGGAUUAGCUAGUAGGUGGGGUAACGGCGCACCUAGGCGACGAUCCCUAGCUGGUCUGAGAGGAUGACCAGCCACACUGGAACUGAGACACGGUCCAGACUCCUACGGGAGGCAGCAGUGGGGAAUAUUGCACAAUGGGCGCAAGCCUGAUGCAGCCAUGCCGCGUGUAUGAAGAAGGCCUUCGGGUUGUAAAGUACUUUCAGCGAGGAGGCGUUACUCGCAGAAGAAGCACCGGCUAACUCCGUGCCAGCAGCCGCGGUAAUAC
rnacentral:rRNA from 1 species